GUAAAAGCUUUCUAGGGUUCCGCGUGUUUGAACGGACUGGUCCAAGAGGAAGCGCAUAGAUGUUAUCUAUGUACACGGAGGGAGAAAAGCCCGGGAGGU
rnacentral:sRNA from 2 species